rnacentral:sRNA from 1 species
CAAAAUCUUUUAUUUUUUUCCUUUCUCACACACCCCAGACCCCUAACGUUAAGCCAGCUUCCAUCUCCCCAUUCCACACGAUCUUGAGUAGCACACGUUAUGGUCGGUUCCUCCGAAGAGUGUUGUAUUAGGGUCUGAGAGGCAGAGGGGCUGGGAAAGACUUGUUAUAGUCCGUGUGGGAAUGAGAGAAGUCGGGGCAGAAUAGUAAACGGGAGUCUGUUUCCCACAGGUCCCCUUCCCCUGAGCCCAUCUACAAUAGCGAGGGGAAGCGGCUUAACACCCGAGAGUUCCGCACCCGCAAAAAGCUGGAAGAGGAGCGGCACAACCUCAUCACAGAGAUGGUUGCACUCAAUCCGGAUUUCAAGCCACCUGCAGAUUACAAACCUCCAGCAACACGUGUGAGUGAUAAAGUCAUGAUUCCACAAGAUGAAUACCCAGAAAUCAACUUUGUGGGGCUGCUCAUCGGGCCCAGAGGGAACACCCUGAAGAACAUAGAGAAGGAGUGCAAUGCCAAGAUUAUGAUCCGGGGGAAAGGGUCUGUGAAAGAAGGGAAGGUUGGGCGCAAAGAUGGCCAGAUGUUGCCAGGAGAAGAUGAGCCACUUCAUGCCCUGGUUACUGCCAAUACAAUGGAGAACGUCAAAAAGGCAGUGGAACAGAUAAGAAACAUCCUGAAGCAGGGUAUCGAGACCCCAGAGGACCAGAAUGAUCUACGGAAGA